UGCUAGAGAUCAUCAGAGGGAGGUAGAAUUCCAGGUGUAGUGGUGAAAUGCGUAGAUAUCUGGAGGAAUACCAAUGGCGAAAGCAGCCUCCUGGGGUGAAUCUGACAUUGAGGGACGAAAGCGUGGGUAGCAAACCGGAUUAGAUACCCGGGUAGUCCAUGCCGUAAACGAUGAAUACUGGGUCUUCGGGGAAUCGACCCCCUGUGGACCGAAGCUAACGCGUUAAGUAUUCCGCCUGGGGAGUACGGUCGCAAGACUAAAACUCAAAGGAAUUGACGGGGGCCCGCACAAGCAGCGGAGCGUGUGGUUUAAUUCGAUGGUAAACGAAGAACCUUACCUAGGUUUGACAUAUAAGUAGUACUGACCCGAAAGGUGAUGGACCCGCAAGGGAGCUUAUACAGGUGCUGCAUGGUUGUCGUCAGCUCGUGCCGUGAGGUGUUGGGUUAAGUCCCGCAACGAGCGCAACCCUCGUGGAUAGUUGUUUUCUUUAUCCAGACUGCUUUUACAAGAGGAAGGUGGGGAUGACGUCAAAUCAUCAUGGCUCUUACACCUAGGGCUACACACACGCUACAAUGGACAGUACAGACGGUUGCUAAGUCGCAAGAUGGAGCCAAUCCGAUAAAGCUGUCCCCAAUUGGGAUUGUAGGCUGAAACUCGCCUGCAUGAACCUGGAGUUGCUAGUAACCGCAGAUCAGAAUGCUGCGGUGAAUACGUUCCCGGGCCUUGUACACACCGCCCGUCACGUCAUGGAAGUUUGAAACACUUGAAGUCGCUGGGCUUACCUUUUAGGAGGCAGGCGCCGAGAGUGGGGCAAAUGACUGGGACGAAGUCGUAACAAGGUAGCUGUACCG
rnacentral:rRNA from 1 species